rnacentral:lncRNA from 1 species
GUGGGUCCAGGAGGGCUCUGGGGGCUCUGGGCAAGGGGUGUGUCUGGCCCCUGGGUCUAGCCCAAAGAGGAGGCUCAGUUGAACUGUGAGAGGCGCCCAGGCUACAGAGAACUGGUGUUCACCCAGCUCAGCUCUGCAGAGAGGGGGUUGGUUAGGAAGCUGCCAGUCAUUGACAGGCUGCAGGAGAGGCCAGGCCAGAGCCUCAGGGAUUCUUCUGCCAGGGGGUUGGGGGACAUGGGCAUGGGCUACAGGGGCAUGGGCAUGGGGUAGGAAGGAGGCUGUGGGUUCUAAGAAGGGAGGCUUUAGGGGAAUUCUAGCAGAGAAUUUAGAAUGGAAAGGGACCGAAAAUGUCACAAAGGACCCAAGAGAAGGAACUUAGCCAAGGGCACACAGGUAAGUGGCACAGACUAGGCUAGAGAACCAAGCCUGAGCCUCUGAGGCUGGGGGCUCAUUCUACCACCCUGGCUCAGGCCUAAAGUGGAGACCCUUCCCCAAAGUGGAGACCCUUUCCCGGGUCAUGCCUGGGCACUCUCCUACUCUGAGUUGGACGGGUCAGGGCACACUCAUCAUGGCGAGCCCCAAAAUCCAGCCAUGCCACCGGCCAGUGCCCAGCCCCUUUCAUCUUCCCUCCCCCACCCCAAUAUCUGUGCUCCAGCCUCACUUCCUCUAGAAAGCCUGCCAGGACUAACCCCAGUACGCAUUCAAAGAUGCCAAAGGGACCUUAGAGACCAGCCGGUUAAACGUCCUCCUGGCAAUCUGGUGGAGACCAUUAAAGUCACAGAGCAAGUCCUUCCCCCACCACAUGCACACGGUGCCAAGGGAAACUCCCUGCCAACUCCCACAGAACCCUCCUCUAUUCCAAAUGCAUGUUGUCAGAAUGACAAUUAACCUGCCUUUGGAUGUCGCGGAUGAUGGUGUUGAUCAGUUUGUAUCAUUUCCCCAAAGGAAAAAAAUUGCUACUCUGUGACUGUCGGGUCUAGAUAUUUUCUUUUUUGAAACCUUUACCUUCUUAGUAUCAAUUCUAAGAUAGAAGAGUAGCAAGGGCUAGGCAAUUGGGGUUAGUUGACUUGCCCAGGGUCACACUUAGGAAGUAUCUGGGGCUAGAUUUGAACCUGUCUCUAAGUAUGGCACUCUGUCCACUGAGCCCUCUAGCUGCCCCUCUCCAUCUAGAUUUUCACUGUGAGCAUCUGAAUUUCCCAGUGCCAUUUUCAGGCUAAACCUAGACCUUAGAGAGCAUGUUUUCUGUAUUUCUCACUUAUGCCUAUAUCAUGUUUUAUUGAUAUGUGUUCACAUAUUAUGGAAUCUUAGAGAGCUCAUCUAGUCCAGAUAUUCUGGGAUGCCAGAACCAGGUGUAAGAAGGCCAGAGCUCAUCCAGUCCAUUUUAAAGCUAAGGAAACUGAGGCUCAUAGAAAGGAUAUUAGAUUGGAUCCAUUAGAUUGUAAGCUCCAUGAAGGCAGAAUCUGUCUUAUUUUUCUAUUCCCAGCCCUUAGCACAGUGCUUGGCACAUAGCAUUUAAAAGCUUUUUCGUGACUAUUAUGUCCACACGUAUUAAGUUUCAAACAUAGUCUGCCAGACAUUUCACUAAUUCAACAAUGGGUAUGGAGUCAGCGGAGUGAGGUGUGUGGAUUCUGGCUUACCAUUUGCUAUCCUUGUGACCUUGGAGAAGUCAUCUCCUUUCUCAGGGUCUGCGAUUCUAUACCUGCAAAAUGUGGGACUUUCUACGAUUCCUUCCACCCUCAGAGUCCAUGGGCUCUAUGAAGGGCCCUCACGAGCAGAAAUCUUGUGAACUCUGUGUGGAACUGAUGGUCCUUAGCUUGCAAUCCAAUUUAAUCUAAGAAACAUUUAUUGAGUAACUUAUGAUCAGGGGCCUAUGUGGAACCCAGAGAAAAAAAUGACACAAUCCCUGCUCUGGAGAAGCUUACAUUUUACUGAGGAGAGGGGAGAAUACAACAUUUAUGCCCCCCCCCCAAAGGAUCCAAAAUAGGAAAUAAGAGCCGAGGAGACAAUGGGGCAGAUUUUCGGUGGGGAGGGGAAGAACAAAGGGGGCAGAAUCUGAAGACGUUUCCAUCUUUGGUGGUGAUGGUGGUUGCUGGGGGUGGAGAUCCAAAUAAGGUUGGGGGAGGCCUCGUGGAUGUGACAUUUGAGUUGUGCUUUAAGAGAAAAUUUUCAACAGGUAGAAAGGAGGGAGGAAUAGCCUGAGCGACUAUAAGGAGGCAAGAGAGAGCAGGAUGGGAUCAAGGAACAAGUAGCAAUCCAGUCUGAAUGGAAUGUAGUAUGUGAAGGGACUUGCUAUGGACUAAGUCUGAAUAGGUAAAUGGGAGUCACAUCAGAAGGGCCUUGAAGGACAGACACACUGAGAAGCUUCAUUUCCUGAGGACAGUGGAGAGCCACCCAAAGGUUUUGAGCAUCAGAGUGAUGGUCAGAACAGUCUAUUAGGAAGAUUAAUUCCUCUGUUAUGGUAAAGGUCGUUUGAGGAUUAUAAUACAAAUUACAAAUGUCAUUCUUUUAGAGACUAAAUAAACUUGCAGAUUUUGUGCUCUACCUGAAUAGG